AUUGAACGCUGGCGGCAGGCCUAACACAUGCAAGUCGAACGGUAGCACAGAGGAGCUUGCUCCUUGGGUGACGAGUGGCGGACGGGUGAGUAAUGUCUGGGAAACUGCCCGAUGGAGGGGGAUAACUACUGGAAACGGUAGCUAAUACCGCAUAACGUCGCAAGACCAAAGAGGGGGACCUUCGAGCCUCUUGCCAUCGGAUGUGCCCAGAUGGGAUUAGCUAGUAGGUGGGGUAACGGCUCACCUAGGCGACGAUCCCUAGCUGGUCUGAGAGGAUGACCAGCCACACUGGAACUGAGACACGGUCCAGACUCCUACGGGAGGCAGCAGUGGGGAAUAUUGCACAAUGGGCGCAAGCCUGAUGCAGCCAUGCCGCGUGUAUGAAGAAGGCCUUCGGGUUGUAAAGUACUUUCAGCGAGGAGGAAGGCAUUAAGGUUAAUAACCUUAGUGAUUGACGUUACUCGCAGAAGAAGCACCGGCUAACUCCGUGCCAGCCGCCGCGGUAAAAGGG
rnacentral:rRNA from 1 species